CUCCUUCCUAGAAUUAAAUUUCAAGUUGUACAAGUCCUUUUUAACAAACAACAGAAUACAAAGAAAAAAACAUCUUCAGCUUCCAAUUGCUAUUACCUUUUUCAAUUAUACUAUUUCGGUCAUUUAUAGCUCGCUUUGAGACCCAUUUUCCACUCAAAUUCAGACAUAAUUUAAAUUUCAGUAUGCACCAGAAUAGUUCAGCUAACAUAGCUGUCAGUUCAGUAGUCUAUAAACUGCCUUAGCUUUUACUGUGUGUUUUUCUUGCAAUAUCUGUCUCCAAGUUCUAAUAGAACUGGAAUAUAUCACUUCCAAAUCUCUCGUUUCCUUUCUAAAAAAAGGAACAGGCCUUAAGGUUCAAGAUUCCUAUCUAUCACCUCAAAUUAGUGCAAUGCUUAAAUAACUGUGACUCACAAUCGAGUUGCAAAUUACAGGUUAACCUAGUUAGUUUAGCUUACUAUUGCAGUUGUGCAAUAAGCACAGUUAUAAAAUUUACCUGUUUUUCAGAGCCUUUCAGUACCUACACAGUUUUUUCUUUUACAGGCUCUAAAGGCCUUUUAAUCUUGCUGUAAUGCCUUUAUGUAAUGCUGCAAUGUCAUCAACAGUGGCAGAAGUGAUCACAUUUCUGAAAACCAGAACAGGUAACUACUGAAAUCUGGAGCAGAUGCUUUUCUACUUUGGGAUUUUUUACCACACAAAUCUUAUUUGGAAGUCAUUAUGAAGUCAAUUAUAAGAAGGCAGCAUUUGGGGCUACAAUCAUUUUUUCUUUAGGCCAUCUUCCCCACCUCCUUCUGAGCCUUAUUUUUUUUUUUUAUCACUUUAAAUGACCAACCUGUUGAUUAAAGAAAGGCAAGGCUGUUUUUUAGUUAUGAAAUGACUUGUGGUACCACUAUAAAUUAAUAGUUACAGAAUUAUGACUUUGUGUACGGACAAAUAGCCUUGGUUGAAAUGAGAUGAAUCUGUUGUCAGUGUAAUGAAGGGGGAAAAAAACAAUCAACUUCCCACAUUUAUGGCAUUAAAAUGAACUGUCCUCUUAAUUAAAAGUGUCUUCAUAAAUCUUGAUAAACUAUAAAUUAAUUUCCAGUCAAUCUCUGUUUUUCUUCACUACAAAAUUUUGUACAAACCAUGUUAGCCUUUAAAUUUUUCUAACUUAAAGCUUUUUUAAAUUGUCCUGCACCUUUUUUGAGCUUAAUUUUGCAAGAUUCAGAGUAUUCUGAAAAUGGUAGGGAUUUAUAUUACUAUAUACUUAAGAAAUAUGCAAAAAACUACAAAAACUCUCUGAAAUGUAAAUACUUUUGUACACUCUGUAAACUGUUUUCAGAGCAUUGCCAAUACACACAAUUUAGUUUUUCUAUAAAUUAAUAGUGCACUCCUUUAAAUCAUAGCCCUGAAAAUUCAAAAGCAGCUCCUACUUUCCAUUGUUACUCAGAUAUCCCCAGUCAAUAAGUGUUCUGGCUCAGAAUUAAGAUUAAUUUUCCAAUUUAAAUACGAACUCAGAAUUUUUGCCAGAUACUUAUUCUUUUAAAUAAACUGGCACAUCUUAUAUUUCUCGACUUUGCAGUAAGCCAUAAAUAGAACUGUCUGGGAGAGAAUUCAAACAAACAAACAAAACCCCACUUAUUUCUGCCCCAUAGGAAAUUGUCCUUUUGACACUUUGUAGAGUGAGAGAGAGAGAGAGAGUGGCUGUGGUGGAGUUCAGCUGUCUAGCACGGGAAAACCACCAAGCACUUAGGCCUACUUUGAAACCAUCAAAAUUAAUUUCUGAAAAAAAAGCAGCAGGAAAACAAUCUUCCUAUGGAAAAUCUUCCUGGGAGUUUGAUAAGAACUGUAUAUUAAAAUCAAAAAAGAAAAUACUGAAACUAUUAGGCUAAUUUCCAUCUGUGUUUAAUAUAACAGGAAAAGAUAUUACAUGGAAAGAACAAGAGAAACACUGAGAAAUGUACACCAAAUGAAAUCUGGUGUUUUGGAUUUUUGGAUUUUUUUAAGGCAGUUAAAGAGCAAAUCUAAACAUUCUGAUUUUCUAUAAGUGAAGUAUAGUAUCUUUCCUAGAAAAAGCUGGAUGGUAGCUGGACUAAUUCACUGUCAAUGAGGGCUCCUUCCUAUAUUCUGCAACUCACUCUGACUUAAUAACUUCACAAAUUGAUCACGGAAAAAUAAAAAGCAGCAAUUAUUCAGAGCUGAAUCUACAGAGUCAAACAAGUUUAUUUUAAUCUCAGCUCUUUAUCUAGGUCAGAACAAGGUUACUACUUUUGUUAGAGAUCUGAAUACUCAAUGUCAUGAACAUAAUGUUUGAGAGCAAGUCUUUAUUCUAUUGCACGGAAUAUCAGUUCCAUGCUGAGUUACGGGAAUGAACCUCCCAGCUCUCAAGACAUUACAAAGUUUUAAUUAUUAAAAAAAAUCCUCUUUUACUAUUGAAAUUGAAAGUGCCACUCCAUUUAUUGUAUCCAACUCCUUUGGUUUCUGUAGGAGAUCUGUUUUUAAAUUAGCUUUUGUUCUAAACCUUUCUGUAGGAACUCUUCCUUAAGAUUUAUGGUCUCCCACCUGCCUUGACAAACAUCUCCAGAAUUCUUAAAGUUAAGUGUUUUCAGUGAACUACAUUAUUUUAUAGAGAAAGCUUGGUAAAAGGCAUUUUACAAAACACAAAAAUUGAAAAUCAUUAUUCAUUGAUUCAGUAGUCUUUGAAACAAAUUGGAAAAAUCUUCAAGUUGUUUCGUUAUAGUCCUGACUUAACAAGAACCCAUUCAAGUAUUUUGGUUAUGUAAGGUAAUAGUUUUGUAGAGAAGGUUGUUUCCCUGUUUUCAGGUGACUGUAGAAACAGAUUGCCAUUGACCUGACCCGUUAGAAAGCUUCUGCACGCAUCCAUGCUUUGAACUGGGUAUUUUGCACUGGAAACUGAUAUAGAACGAAGCAGUACAGCAUAAAAUUUCACUAAAAGUUUCAUAAUAUGUAACAGUGAAUAACCUUGUACAAUACAGUUAAUUCCACUUUGUGAUCUGCAGAAGGAGGGGUUGUCUGCUUAAGCACAUGCCACGUACCUUUUAUCAGCUCAUAAAUAUUCAUGUCCAUAAGUUCACAGAUCAGUGAAAGGGAGCCGGCUCUUUUAUCA